GGGACGCGCAUUUCAAGCGCCCGUGUCGUUGGGUCAAACCAGCGACUGCGUUGGCGUUGCGGGCUCGGUCCGUCGGUGCCCACAAAGGCACCGGCGUGUCAACCGGCCCGCCCGUCCCCUCCUUCUGGAUUCCCGUUCCUGCUAUUGAGUUAGUGGGGACGUCACAGGGAGCUCAUCGUCGUCAGCAAUGCCGGCGGUGGGUUCCUGGGGCCCAGAUCGUUUACCGUGAAAAAAUUAGAGUGUUCAAAGCAGGCAGAUCCAAUUUUCUGCCACCGAAUACAUUAGCAUGGGAUAAUGGAAUAGGACCCUGUCCUCCUAUUUUCAGUUGGUUUUGGCAGCGCGAGGACUAGGGUAAUGAUUAAUAGGGAUAGUUGGGGGCAUUAAUAUUUAAUUGUCAGAGGUGAAAUUCUUGGAUUUAUGAAAGAUUAACUUCUGCGAAAGCAUCUGCCAAGGAUGUUUUCAUUAAUCAAGAACGAAAGUUAGGGGAUCGAAGACGAUCAGAUACCGUCGUAGUCUUAACCAUAAACGAUGCCGACCAGCGAUUAGGAGACGUUGAAUACAAAACACCACCAUCGGUGCGGUCGUCCUUGGCGUCUCGGUUUCGGCCGGGGCGCGGGGACGGCUUAGCCCGGUGGCACCGGUGAAUGACUCCCCUAGCAGCUUGUGAGAAAUCAUAAGUCUUUGGGUUCCGGGGGGAGUAUGGUCGCAAGGCUGAAACUUAAAGGAAUUGACGGAAGGGCACCACCAGGAGUGGAGCCUGC
rnacentral:rRNA from 1 species